GACAAACGCUGGCGGCGUGCCUAAUACAUGCAAGUCGAACGCUUCUUUUUCCACCGGAGCUUGCUCCACCGGAAAAAGAGGAGUGGCGAACGGGUGAGUAACACGUGGGUAACCUGCCCAUAAGAAGGGGAUAACACUUGGAAACAGGUGCUAAUACCGUCUAACAAUCGAAACCGCAUGGUUAUGAUUUGAAAGGCGCUUUCUGGUGUCGCUGAUGGAUGGACCGCCGGUGCAUUAGCUAGGUGGUGAGGUAACGGCUCACCAAGGCCACGAUGCAUAGCCGACCUGAGAGGGUGAUCGGCCACAUUGUAACGGAUACACGGCCCAAACUCCUACGGGAGGCAGCAGUAGGGAAUCUUCGGCAAUGGACGAAAGUCUGACCGAGCAACGCCGCGUGAGUGAAGAAGGUUUUCGGAUCGUAAAACUCUGUUGUUAGAGAAGAACAAGGAUGAGAGUAACUGUUCAUCCCUUGACGGUAUCUAACCAGAAAGCCACGGCUAACUACGUGCCAGCCGCCGCUGUAA
rnacentral:rRNA from 1 species